rnacentral:ncRNA from 1 species
UAGCUGGUGAAAGUCCAGCCGCGGGAGGGGCCAAGCCCCCGCGUAGCUUGGAUUCUUGCGUAUGGCGAAAUCUGUGCGUAAAAGCGAAUCGACCAAAGUACCUGUCGGAGACAGGGCGAGCAACAUGCCAGGCCGUAACAUGA